rnacentral:tRNA from 1 species
GCCUUCGCGAUGUAGCGGUCAGCACACUGGGUGCGUAUUCCAGAGGUCCGUGGUUCGAGUCCCGGUGAAGGCA